rnacentral:rRNA from 1 species
GAUUAUGGCUCAGGACGAACGCUGGCGGCGUGCUUAACACAUGCAAGUCGAACGAGGAUCAAGAUGGAAGUCCUUCGGGGUGGAAGUUUGAUUCGAGUGGCGGACGGGUGAGUAACGCGUGAACAAUCUGUCCCGGACAGGGGAAUAACACUUGGAAACAGGUGCUAAUACCGCAUAAGACCACGCCCUCGCAUGGGGGAGAGGUAAAAGGAGCAAUCCGGUUCGGGGUGAGUUCGCGUCCGAUUAGAUAGUUGGUGAGGUAACGGCCCACCAAGUCGACGAUCGGUAGCCGACCUGAGAGGGUGAUCGGCCACAUUGGAACUGAGAGACGGUCCAAACUCCUACGGGAGGCAGCAGUGGGGAAUAUUGGGCAAUGGGCGAAAAAGCCUGACCCAGCAACGCCGCGUGAGUGAAGAAGGCUUUCGGGUUGUAAAGCUCUGUUAUAGGGGACGAAGGAAGUGACGGUACCCUAUAAGGAAGCCCCGGCUAACUACGUGCCAGCCGCUGC